GGCGGCAGGCCUAACACAUGCAAGUCGAGCGGAUGAGUGGAGCUUGCUCCAUGAUUCAGCGGCGGACGGGUGAGUAAUGCCUAGGAAUCUGCCUGGUAGUGGGGGACAACGUUUCGAAAGGAACGCUAAUAGGGAUACGUCCUAUGGGGGGAAGUGGGGGAUCUUCGGACCUCACCCUAUCAGAUGAGCCUAGGUCGGAUUAGCUAGUUGGUGAGGUAAAGGUCCCCCAAGGCGAGGAUCCGUAACUGGUCUGAAGGGAUGAUCAGUUCCACUGGAACUGAGACCCGGUCCAGACUCCUACGGGAGGCAGCAGUGGGGAAUAUUGGACAAUGGGGGAAAGCCUGAUCCACCCAUGCCGGGUGUGUGAAGAAGGUUUUCGGAUUGUAAAGCCCUUUAAGUUGGGAGGAAGGGCAGUAAGUUAAUACCUUGCUGUUUUGACGUUACCAACAGAAUAAGCCCCGGCUAACUUCGUGCCAGCAGCCGCGGUAAUACGAAGGGUGCAAGCGUUAAUCGGAAUUACUGGGCGUAAAGCGCGCGUAGGUGGUUCGUUAAGUUGGAUGUGAAAGCCCCGGGCUCAACCUGGGAACUGCAUCCAAAACUGGCGAGCUAGAGUAUCGCAGAGGGUGGUGGAAUUUCCUGUGUAGCGGUGAAAUGCGUAGAUAUAGGAAGGAACACCAGUGGCGAAGGCGACCACCUGGGCUAAUACUGACACUGAGGUGCGAAAGCGUGGGGAGCAAACAUGAUUAGAUACCCUGGUAGUCCACGCCGUAAACGAUGUCGACUAGCCGUUGGGAUCCUUGAGAUCUUAGUGGCGCAGCUAACGCAUUAAGUCGACCGCCUGGGGAGUACGGCCGCAAGGUUA
rnacentral:rRNA from 1 species